AGAACAAUGGCGUAGUUGGUUAUCCCAUCUUCUUCAAAUAAAUUGACAGAAGCUCCCAGUUCGAAUCCGGGUUGUUCAA